UACGUAGGGGGCAAGCGUUGUCCGGAAUCAUUGGGCGUAAAGCGCGUGUAGGCGGCUCGGUAAGUCCGCUCUGAAAGUCCAGGGCUCAACCCUGGGAUGCGGGUGGAUACUGCCGGGCUCGAGUCCGGAAGAGGCGAGUGGAAUUCCCGGUGUAGCGGUGAAAUGCGCAGAUAUCGGGAGGAACACCAAUGGCGAAGGCAGCUCGCUGGGCCAGUUCUGACGCUGAGGAGCGAAAGCGUGGGGAGCGAACAGG
rnacentral:rRNA from 1 species